AUGAGGAUCCAUUGGGCCGUUUCUAGAGCCCACACUAAUCCUAGAGCCCGAGUACAGACUCUCACGGUCCACUCCCCUGUCACUCACGCUCCCAAGCCACAGCCGCCGCCCCAUUCCCCAUUCCCCGCUCCGAGCCCUAGCCCCAGAUCAGCGAGCAGCGGCGGCCGGCGUCGCGACCGUCCAAUCGACUGCCUCGAGGCACGGAUCUGCGGGCGGGGCAGGAGGCGAUGCCGCCAGGAGGUGGAGAAGGAGAAGGAGAAGGCGAGCAUGGCAGCACGGUGCAGAGCCACCCACCGGCGACCGUCCGCCGCGACGAGGACGCCCCGCCCCAUUCUACGCCGCCGCUCCCCGACGUUCCUCCGACCUCCCACCAAUCUUGGAUCCAAGAAAAGGAAUCAGGAAUCUGAACUAGCCGUUGCUAUCAUUUGCACAGGAGAAUCUGGAGCAGGAGCAGCAGCCCAUGCCGAACGUUCCCGAGGGCGCCCUCGUCCGCUCGUCGAGAUCCUUUCGCGGGUGCCCUACAGUUCGCUCUGCCGCUUCAAGUGCGUGUCCAAGCCGUGGCUCGCCCUCUGCUCCGCCCCCGACAUCCGCAAGAGGUCGCCACAGACUCUCUCCGGCUUCUCCUACCAUGAUGAAGGCGAUGCUCUCAGAUUCUGCAACUUGAAAGGGAGAGGUCCGCCUCUCGACCCAUCUCUCCCUUUCUUGCGCCACAGCUACAAAAAUGUUCAUGUCGAACAAGUCUGCGGCAGUCUUCUCCUCUGCAACUGCUGGAAUUCGUGUUUACCACGCGAACGUGAUUAUGUUGUGUGCAAUCCUGCCACACAAGAGUGGAUUGUGCUACCUCCUGUGGUAUUUCUGGGUCAGGAUAAGAGGGCAGCCACGACGUCACACCAAGUGUUUACUUGGGCUUCGAAGCCGCUGUUCCAUCCCGCUUUGUGGUGUUUGCAACCCCUCACAAUGUUGGUGUUCUUCCUGGAGAAAUGGCGAUCUACUCGUCAGAAACUGGACAGUGGACUUAUGUGCAGACUAAAUGGACAUCCGAAUCUCUCAUGGCUCUUAAUGGGUUAUCAUUAUGGUUGCCAACUCUAUAUUUGGGUUCUUGAGGAUUAUGGUACUGGAAAGUGGGCUCCGAAGCAUACUGUCAAUGUUUUGGAACUGUUUGGAAGGCAUUGUCGCAAAGAUGGUCAAUAUUAUGAGAUGUUUGCAUUUCAUCCAGAUUGUAAUGUGAUUUUCCUUACCGACAAGGAGAUGACAGUGUCAUACGACUUGGAUAGUCAGAAAAAUUGCAAUCAGCUGGGCAUUGAAUAUGAGUGCAGCAUCACGUGCUCAGCAUGGGACAACACCUUUUGUGAAAAUUGGUGCUUGCUAUGGACCUACUCCUAA
rnacentral:rRNA from 1 species